UACGAAGGGGGCUAGCGUUGCUCGGAAUUACUGGGCGUAAAGCGCACGUAGGCGGCUUCUUAAGUCGGUGGUGAAAUCCUGGAGCUCAACUCCAGAACUGCCUUCGAUACUGAGAAGCUCGAGUCCGGGAGAGGUGAGUGGAACUGCGAGUGUAGAGGUGAAAUUCGUAGAUAUUCGCAAGAACACCAGUGGCGAAGGCGGACUCACUGGCCCGGUACG
rnacentral:rRNA from 1 species